GACGGAGGAUGCAAGUGUUAUCCGGAAUCACUGGGCGUAAAGCGUCUGUAGGUGGUUUAAUAAGUCAACUGUUAAAUCUUGAGGCUCAACCUCAAAAUCGCAGUCGAAACUAUUAGGCUAGAGUAUAGUAGGGGUAAAGGGAAUUUCCAGUUGGAGCGGUGAAAGUGCGUAGAGAUUGGAAAGAACACCGAUGGCGAAGGCACUUUACUGGGCUAUUACUAACACUCAGAGACGAAAGCUAGGGUAGCAAAUGGG
rnacentral:rRNA from 1 species